CCUACGGGAGGCUGCAGUGGGGAAUAUUGCACAAUGGGGGAAACCCUGAUGCAGCGACGCCGCGUGAGUGAAGAAGUAAUUCGUUAUGUAAAGCUCUAUCAGCAGGGAAGAAAAUGACGGUACCUGAGUAAGAAGCCCCGGCUAACUACGUGCCAGCAGCCGCGGUAAUACGGAGGGGGCAAGCGUUAUCCGGAUUUACUGGGUGUAAGGGGAGCGUAGACGGGAGUGCAAGUCAGGAGUGAAAGGCGGCGGCUCAACCCCCGGAGUGCUCUGGAAACUGUACGGCUGGAGUGCAGGAGAGGUAAGAGGAAUUCGUAGUGUAGCGGUGAAAUGCGUAGAUAUUAGGAGGAACACCAGUGGCGAAGGCGGCUUACUGGACUGUAACUGACGUUGAGGCUCGAAAGCGUGGGGAGCAAACAGGAUUAGAUACCCGGGUAGUC
rnacentral:rRNA from 1 species